CGGUAAUACGGAGGAUCCAAGCGUUAUCCGGAAUCAUUGGGUUUAAGAGGUCCGUAAGCGGUCGAGUAGAUCGAUGGUGAAAGCCCAUCGCUCAACGGUGGAACGGCCAUUGAUACUGUCUGACUUGAAUUAUUAGGAAGUAACUAGAAUAUGUAGUGUAGCGGUGAAAUGCUUAGAGAUUACAUGGAAUACCAAUUGCGAAGGCAGGUUACUACUAAUGGAUUGACGCUGAUGGACGAAAGCGUGGGUAGCGAACAGGAUUAGAUACCCUGGUAGUCCACGCCGUAAACAGUGGAUACUAGCCGUUGGGAGCAAUCUCAGUGGCUAAGCAGAAGUGAUAAGUAUCCCACCUGGGGAGUACGAACGCAAGUUUGAA
rnacentral:rRNA from 1 species